CUUUCUGCUCCUUCUCCUACUUUACAUUUGUACUCCUUCUGAUUCUUUCUGCUCCUUUACCUUUGUUCACCUUCUGUCCCUUUCUGCUCUUUGCAGACCCUUCCUUCUCCUUGCAGAUCUUUCCUGCUCCUUGCAGAUCCUUCCUGCUAAUUUCUGCUCCUUCUCCUGCUUUACGUUUGUGCUCCUUCUGCCCCUUCCAGCUCAUUGCUGCUCCUUGAUGUCCCUUCCUGCUCAUUUCUCUUCCUUCUCCUACUUUACCUUUGUGCUCCUUCUGUCCCUUCCUGCUCCUUGCUGCCCUUUCCAGCUCCUUGCUGACCCUUUCUUCUCCUUCUACUUUACCUUUGUGCUGCUUUACCUUCCAGUUCCUUGCUGCCCCUUCCUGCUUCUUGUGGACCCUUUGUGCUCCUUGCUGACCCUUCAUGCUCCUUGAUGCCCCUUCCUCCUUAUUUAUGUUCCUCUGUGCUCCUUCUCCUACUUUACCUUUUGUGUUCCUUGCUGUCCCUUCCAGCUCAUUGCUGCCCCUUUCUGCUCCUUAAUGUCCCUUCCUGCUCCUUUCUGCUUCUUCUCUUACUUUACCUUCCUGCUCCUUGCUGACCCUUCCUGUAGGCUGUCUCCCCCAUCCCUCACUUACCUGAUCUAUAGGCUGCCUCCCCCCAUCCCUCACUUAUCUGAUCUAUAGGCUGUCUCUCCCCUCCUCCAUUACCU